rnacentral:rRNA from 1 species
AGUGAACGCUGGCGGUAGGCCUAACACAUGCAAGUCGAACGGCAGCACAGUAAGAGCUUGCUCUUACGGGUGGCGAGUGGCGGACGGGUGAGGAAUACAUCGGAAUCUACUUUUUCGUGGGGGAUAACGUAGGGAAACUUACGCUAAUACCGCAUACGACCUACGGGUGAAAGCAGGGGAUCUUCGGACCUUGCGCGAUUGAAUGAGCCGAUGUCGGAUUAGCUAGUUGGCGGGGUAAAGGCCCACCAAGGCGACGAUCCGUAGCUGGUCUGAGAGGAUGAUCAACCACACUGGAACUGAGACACGGUCCAGACUCCUACGGGAGGCAGCAGUGGGGAAUAUUGGACAAAGGGCGCAAGCCUGAUCCAGCCAUACCGCGUGGGUGAAGAAGGCCUUCGGGUUGUAAAGCCCUUUUGUUGGGAAAGAAAAGCAGCAGGUUAAUACCCCGCUGUUCUGACGGUACCCAAAGAAUAAGCACCGGCUAACUUCGUG